UACGUAGGGAGCAAGCGUUGUUCGGAUUUACUGGGCGUAAAGGGCGCGUAGGCGGCGCGGUAAGUCACUUGUGAAAUCUCUGAGCUUAACUCAGAACGGCCAAGUGAUACUGCAGUGCUAGAGUGCAGAAGGGGCAAUCGGAAUACUUGGUGUAGCGGUGAAAUGCGUAGAUAUCAAGAGGAACACCUGAGGUGAAGACGGGUUGCUGGGCUGACACUGACGCUGAGGCGCGAAAGCCAGGGGAGCAAACGGG
rnacentral:rRNA from 1 species